CCGGCUGCUGGUGCAGGCCCAGGACGUGGUCUACUACGAGAUGCGCAUCUCGGCGCUGCCUCGCUUCUUGCAGUACCACCGCGAGAAGAAGUACAAUCUGCAAAAGGCAUCUUCGUUGUCGA
rnacentral:ribozyme from 1 species